rnacentral:rRNA from 1 species
UACGUAGGGUGCAGGCGUUAAUCGGAAUUACUGGGCGUAAAGCGUGCGCAGGCGGUCUUGCAAGACAGAUGUGAAAUCCCCGGGCUCAACCUGGGAACUGCAUUUGUGACUGCAAGGCUGGAGUACGGUAGAGGGGGAUGGAAUUCCGCGUGUAGCAGUGAAAUGCGUAGAUAUGCGGAGGAACACCGAUGGCGAAGGCAAUCCCCUGGACCUGUACUGACGCUCAUGCACGAAAGCGUGGGGAGCAAACAGG